UUGAUUUGACAAACCGUAGCGCUUGUUAUAAUUUUGUACGGUCUUAAACUUUACUUAAAUCAAUAUUCAAUUCGUAUGUAAAAUGUACUGAUAUUUGACAUUCAGUUUAUAAUAUUCUUGUGCACUGGAGUAAAUAAAAAAGCAAGCAAGAUGAAAGUGUUUUUACAUUACGGCCCUUAUCAGAGAUGAAAUGGUGUUUACCACUCGCAGAAACCAGUGACUCCGUUGAUUCAUGGUCUCGGGUCAGCUGGUUUUACGGUGGUACCUGUGCAAGUCAAGAGGCGCGAUGCAUGCGAACUAGUUGUAGACAAGAAAGUUGUUUGGAAACGUACCAUCCCCGAACUUCUUAUAGAUACUGUUAAGAAAUCUACCCUUGUCAGCGAUGCCAUCAAUGCCUGCAAAUCUGUGGAGAAAAGUAACUCCUUAUCAUAUAAUAAUGACACUAAUGCUCAAAGUAUCAAAUUUUAAAAAUGAAGAUUACGACAUCACUAGUACUUAGGAACUGUGCAUUCGUGAAUAAAUGCAAAGGAAAUGCACAUAGCCUCCCUACCUAUUAACGGAUUUCCCUUCAGUCACAAAGAUACUAUUUCUAUUAAUGAAUUUGUUAAAUUGAUUAUAACGUUUUAUGUAUUACUUAUGCUGCAUAUUCGAAGAAAGUGCUGACUAUACAAUACUGAGACCAGACAGAAAUGACGUGGUUGUCUGAAAAUACGAGACAAACAUUGAAAACCUUAUGUACUUUCAGUUUUGUAUAAAAUGCAUUAAAUCGUAUACAGUUCA